AUCAAACUUAUAGGAAAAUUUGGUAGUUUUCUAUGUUGGUUCUGGGUUGGUGUCAUCUGAGGUCCUCGGAGGGGUUGGCAUCUUCUCUUCUCAGGUGUCUGGCUCCAGACUGAAGCUUUA